UGCUCACUUUGUCCAGUAAAAUACCAGGCCUUGUGACAUCUGUUCUUACUGUGGUGUUGUGUAGAAUACCUUCUUCUGUUUCAAGAGAAACUCUUUGGUCUCUGCUCCUAGGAGGAAGAAGAGAGAAAGUCUCUGAUCUUACAUAAUUAUAAUGAAUCAUUUCAUAUUUCAAUUGCAUUAAUUUGGUAGAAGUUUAUUAUUAAGCUGUUUCGGUUCUCCAUACAGGAGAAUAUUUAUACCUACAAAUUAUUCUUUUCUGGGCUUGGUUGUCUCUGGGAUAGAAGAACAAAUCAAAACAAAACAUUCAGACUUGCUAGGAGCAGACAUGCCAAUUUAGCAUGCAGUUGAAACAUUUAAGGAUAAUCAUACUGAGAAUUAAAUCAUGGACUCCAGUACAAUUUGAUCCAGUUGUUGAUGAGAUCCAGCCCCUGGGCUGUGCAACUUCUGUCAGGCUGAGGACCACACCCAGCCUUGGAGUGGUGUUCCAGGUGCCAUCCUUUCCAAAAGAAUGAAUGGAUCCAGAAUAAAAGCAAAAUAUCUCAUUUAUAUUUAAACUUAAAAGUUAGUUAAAUUAUUUACUCUCCAGUCACGUAAUGAGUCAUUGCUCUUUUCUGUUACACUGAAAAUUAGAAUUGGGUGAAAAAAGAUUUGGAAAGGGAGCCACAGGUAGUCCCAGAGUCUCACAUUAUACAUCUCUGCCUUACAACACAGCCAAAAGAAGGGGAAUAAAAAUGACAGCUACCUAUGAGUAGCUCAGGAGAUCUGAUAUUUUUCUAUCUAGAUUCCCUUGAUAAAAUUAUACUAGUGGUACUCAAAUCAGUGUUUGUAAAGGUACAAACUGCUAAGCGUGCACAAACUCAGCUGACCUUUUAGUUCAAUACUUCUUUACACUCAGACAGCUGGAUGAAGAAUUAGAAUGACAAUGCUUAUACCAAUGAAGAGAUCAAAGCUUUCAAGGUGUUUUGCAAUGGAUUCUUUCACACAGCUAUUUGGAUAAGUAACUACUUGAGCAGCAUGCUAAUACAGUAAAGUUUACAGUUUCAGCAACUAUACAUUAGAGCUAGCAUUAGGGGAACUUUCCAAACAAAAUAUUAAAUUCCUUCCAAAUGCAAAGAGACUACCAGGAAGGAAGGAAUGAGUUUAGUUGUGAACCAGUCCAGUGUGUCUUAUUCUAUAAGUCACGAUUUAAAGGAUUCCAUAUUGUUGGGUAUAAAUGCUGCCAUUCUCUAGUGUAAUCUCUAAUAAAGAGCCUUUUCCCACUUGUACCUCAAUACAGCACAAACAUGCCCUGGCAACAUCUUUUUUCUGGGUUUUUUUGUCAGCUCAUGGGUGAGUCAGGCUUAAGUCAUCUUUAGUUGCAUUUAUUUAGUUGUACCAAGUGGUAUUUUCCCUUUUCUGACACUAUUCACAUGCAAUCUAGAGAAGGCUCUAAUGCUCGGAAAAGUGGAAGGAAAUAGAAGAGGAUCAGCAGCAGCAAGGUGGAUGGACUCAGUUACAGUGGCAAUGAGUGCAAUGUUGGGAGACCUGAAAGACAAGGUUAGGGAUAGAUUGUCUUGGAGAAAAUAUAUGUAUGUGGUCGCUAGGAGUUGAGACUGACUUGAUGGCACAUAAUUAAUUAAAUCAAUUCAUGUGCAAGGCCUGUAAAAUUUGUUACACUUCACCAUCCAUUUUGCUGGAGGUUAAGUCAGGUGUCCACUGGGAUUGGAGUACCACUUGGAGGCUGUUUCAGGCUGAUGUGAGCAUGCUCUCCCUUUUGGUCCCUGGUCUGUCUGACCACCGUUGUGCCACCAUUGUUGUCUCUCUAAAGAGCUAUAUACAGAAAUGCUGAGCCACUGAGCCAUCAAAAUUGUGCAAUAGCUCUAGAUGGAUCAAAUAGAGUGCUUUAACUUCAUUGCCCUUAGUGGAUUUAGUGCAAGGCUGAAAUAGCAAAAUUGUUUAUUUUUAACAUAUCCAUUUCAUCUCCCUGUUUGAGUUCAUUGUUCUUAAAUGAAUUUUCCCAUUACCCUUUUAGAUUCAGAUGAUAAUAUGUGCUGAAGUAUGUACCAACAUACCUCUUUUUAUUGCCAAACAGAAUCUUAAUCCCCAAAUAUGUGCAUUUUUCCAAAGCCGGCAAGUGUA